CGCCCCCAGCCCCCGCCGCUCCGCGCCUGCACCGCCAGCCCGCCCGGCGCCCCCACACACACAAAGUCCCAGCACUCGAUGAAAGAGGCUGGAGUUCCUGUCUUCACCCUUUCUCCGCUGCCUCCCUGUUCUACCAGUCGGUUCUGUGUCCAGGCAACUGCAAAAAGACAUUUCAAAGGCUCCUGCCGUGCCAUGUAGAUGUUUUCUCUUGUUAGUUUGGACUGCAGGUGUGUGAGCCUCAAGGAUGAAGUAUCGUGGUGCUGUUUUAGGUUCGGGGCACACAGUCAUGGCACAAUAAAUCACACGGUAACGCUCGGCUUUGAACACGCGCGCACAGAAAAGGGGAAAGAAAAAAGCAUCUGACCUGAAUCAUUUUCUGGAAACACAUCUGGUUAAAAUCCAAAGUUUUAAAUUGAGUAAUAUUUUAAAAUACAUUUGGUAGGUAUUACAUUACAGUGUUAUAUCUGGUAAUAUUUAUGAUACUAAUGUGUUAAGCGGAGGUUUAUAUCUGUCAAGAAAUAUGAAUGAUUGUCAUAUGGGCUAACAAAUGUAUCCUGAUAUAAAUAACAUUUUAUGAUAUUUUUAACGUUAUUGUAGUCUUUCUUUUUGCAGAACUUACAUUAUUGCCAAUUUGAAAUAAAAGCUCUGUGGCUACAUACCAAAGCUUUUAGCUAUAUAAUUUUGAAUAAGUAUAAGCUGAGUUUGGGAAGUGCUGAGAAACCUUAACUGUGCCGGGAGACAAACGCUGAGCACCUAUAAUUCCUAUUGUUUCCGUGAAGGAUCAAGUCCCUUAUUUGCCAUUUUGUGUGGCAGCAAGCCCAAGGAAAUCUUGUUUGACAGCUCAGUUUUCUCAAAGUGCUGUAUUUCUUCGGGCUGGAUUCUGCAGAGAUCCUGCAGGCUACAGAGCUCCUUGGAGCAAAUGGUGCUGUGCUCUGUGUUCCUGCUGAAACCUACCUGUGUAAGGUGGGAGAGGGAUCUUGGAAAAUUUGGUGCAUCCUGGCAAGAAGACAGUUAGAAUAAAGUUUUCUUGGAUUAUUA